CACGAUCUAAAACUACGAUCUUCUACUGGAGAAAACCCUAACAGUUACCGAGAGAACAAAGAAGAUGUGUAUAUGCUUUGAACAACUGAACUACUACACCGAUACAAUGAACAAGAUAUUUUAUCAACUCACAUAACACCUGAAGAUCCGCGCCUUAACCCGAGUAUUAACCCGAAAACUCACCUGCAUAAAAAACUUAUACAAACUACCCACAAAUAGCAAUAUUGUACAAAACACACCCUUCACAUUUAAUGUUCAGUUUGUAAAUAAAGGUAUUUUCAACACCCCCCCACAAACUGAACAUUAAUUAACUUAUGAUUUAUUAUAUUUAAAAACAUUUAUUAAACCUAGUCUAUUAGAAAUAUAUUCAUGUUGAGAAGAUCCAAGAGCUUUAGUUAAAACAUCUGCAUUUUGAUUUAAAGAAUUAAUCUUAUUAACUUUUAUAAUAUCAUUUUCAACCUUUUCUCUAACAAAAUGGAGAUCUACUUCAAAAUGUUUAGAUCUCUCAUGAAAUACAGGAUUUAAUACAAGUUUGAUUGCUGAUUCAUUGUCACAAAAAAUAUUGACUGGAGUUAAACCAGUUAUUCCCAAAUCAUAUAGUAAUUUUAGAAUCCAAAUUACCUCACAAGUUAUAGAUCCUAAUGCCCUGUAUUCAGAUUCAGUGGAAGAGCGAGAAACAGUACUCUGUUUCUUGCUUUUCCAGGACACAAGUGAACCAGCAAAAUAAACAAGAUAUCCUGUAACAGAUCUUCUACUAAACAAACAUUUUGCCCAAUCAGCAUCAACAAAACCAAUGAGACUAAGAGAAUCAGUUUUUGUUAUAUGAAUUCCUUUCCCUGGACAAUCUUUUAAGUAUCUCAACAAUCUUAAAGCUAUAUUCACAUGAGAUUUAUAAGGUUUAUGCAUGUACUGACUCAAAAUUUGCACAGCAUAUGAAAUAUCAGGUCUUGUCAUAGUUAAAUAGAUCAGUUUACCAAUUAGUUUUUGAAAUUCUGUAAUAUUUACCACAUAAUCAGAAGGAUCUAGAUCACAUUCUUUCUUAAUAACAAGAUUAGGUUCCAAAGGUGUUUUAACAGGUUUACAAGCAAGCAUACCAAACUCUUGUAGCAAUUCCAAACAAUAUUUCCUUUGAUUUAGACAAAUACCCUGAUCUGUUCUAAUUACUUCAAUUCCAAGAAAAUAUUUCAACUCUCCUAAAUCUUUUAUCAAAAAUUGAGAUUUUAAAAAACAUUUAACAUUUUCUAAUUCAUCUUUACAAUUUCCAGUGAUAAUAAUAUCAUCCACAUAAACCAACAAAAUGACUAUAACAUGUUUUAUUCUUUUAACAAAUAAUGAAUAAUCAUUAAUACUUUGUUCAAAACCAAAUGAAGAAAGAGAAGAACUCAAUUUUUCAUUCCAUUUCCUAGGAGCUUGUUUAAGCCCAUAAAGUGAUUUGAUUAAUCUACAAACUCUAUUAUCCUUUUUUGAAUGAUACCCUUCAGGAAGUUGCAUAUAAACAUUUUCAGACAAAUCACCAUAUAAAAAAGCAUUAUUUAUAUCCAAUUGAUAUAAAGGCCAUGCAUGAUGAAUAGCUAAAGUUAAACAAAUUCUGAUAGUAACAAUUUUAGCAACAGGAGAGAAAGUAUCCUCAUAAUCUAUACCUUCUCUUUGACUGUACCCUUUAGCAACUAACCUAGCUUUAUAUCUUUCAAUUUCUCCAUUUGACUUAUACUUAACUUUAUAAAUCCAACGACAACCAAUAGCUUUUCUUCCCUUAGGAAGAUCUACUAUUUCCCAAGUAUUAUUCCUAUAUAGGGCUUCCAUUUCUUCAUUCAUUGCUUUUAUCCAUUUAGGAUCUAAAACUGCUUCACUGUAAGUUUUAGGUUCUACUGUUUUAUUAAGAUUAGCAAUAAAGCAAUAAUUUUCAGAAUUUAAAGCUGAGUAAUUGACAGAUCUUUCUAUACCAUAUUUAUGUUUUCCUUCCACAACAUAAUCACUAAAUCUAAGAGGCAUAUGAACACUACGUCCGGACCUUGUGACCCUAGAGGACUGUUCUUCAGAAGGACUAGUAUUAAUCAAAACAUUUUCCUCAGUCAAUAAAGAAGAAUUUGGAACCACCUCAUCAGAUGAGGGCACAUCUGCCUCACCAGACUGGUUGCUGACAUCAAAAGAAACAGUCUCAUCCAAGUUAUGGUCUGCAUCAAUACCACUCAACUGAUGGGCACCUCUCAGUUCAUCUAAAUUAGUAUUGUCUAGUAAAACACUAGAAGAUAUUGACUCAUCAUAGGAAAAGGGAUCAUUCAAAGCAACAUUAGAUUUAUCUGUUAAAGAUGAAUGCUUUAGCUUGAAAGGAAAAACAGACUCAUAGAAUUUUAUAUCCCUGGAAACAAAAAUAAGAUUUGUAUCAAGACUUAAUACUUUAUAACCCUUUUUAUCAAAAGCAUAACCAAGAAAUAUACACUUAUCAGCUCUUUCAGAAAAUUUGUCAGAAUUAUUUAACUUUGUUGCAAAACAUAAACAGCCAAAAACCCUAAGUUUAUCAAAAACAGGAGCAGUUUUAUAAACCAACUCAUAAGGAGAAGAACCAUGUAAAACAGAUGUAGGAGUUCUAUUAAUUAAGAAAACAGCAGUUAGGAUUGCCUCUCCCCAAAAUUUUAAAGGUAACCCAGAUUGAAACAUCAAAGACCUUGCAACAUUAAGAAUAUGUCUAUGUUUUCUUUCAACCACUCCAUUUUGUUGUGGAGUGUGAACACAUGAAGUUUGAUGCAAAACACCUUUAGAUUCAAACAAUUGUCUCAUUUUAAAAUUCAAAAACUCAGUUCCAUUGUCUGACCUAACUGUUUUAAUUUUAACUCCAAAUUGAUUAAACAGAAUAUUAAAGAAAACAAGAACACAACCAUAAACUUCAUCUUUUGAUUUCAACAAAUAAACCCAUGUAGCUCUAGAAUAAUCAUCAACUAUGGUUAAAAAAUACCUAAAUCCUUCUGAAGUUGUCACUCUAUAAGGUCCCCAAACAUCCAAAUGUAUUAACUCACCCAGUUUAGUAGUAACAUGUUGACUAGCAGGAAAUGACUCCCGAGUUUGCUUAGCCUUAUGACAUACAUCACAUGGUGGCAGUAGUUCAUUUCCAAAAUUUAAUUGAGUUCUUAAAGAACCUAGGGCUUGAUCAGAAGGAUGACCAAGUCUAUUAUGCCAAGUCAAUUUUGACACACAACACACAGAAACAGAAUGACUAUUACUACACAAAUUACCUGAAGGUUCACUAUUGAUGUAAUAGAGACCCUCAGAUUCUCUACCAUUCCCCACCAUCUCCUUUGAUUGUAAACCCUGAAUUUUACAACUAUGUUCAUUAAAAACAACCUCACAAUUACUGUCUUUACAAACCUUAUGAACAGACAACAAGUUAACAUUAAAAUCAGGAACAGCAAAAACAUCAAAAAGAGUCAAAGAAUUAGACAAAUUUAAGUUUCCAAUUUUUUCAAUUUUAGCUGAAGUACCAUUAGGAUGGCUAACCAGAAGAUCUAAUUUAGAUACAUCCACAGUAUCAUGAAGAAGAGACUCAGAAGCAAUCAUAUGUUGAUUAGCUCCAGAAUCAACAAUCCACUUUAAAGGACUAACAGAGGAAUUAAAGGCUUGAAACAAACAAGUACCUGCCAUAUUAACACUGGCAGAAGUUUCCUCAUUAAGCUGUCUAUCACCAAUAAGUUGUAAAAAUUUGAAGUAUUGUUCCUUUGUGAGCUGAUGAAAUUCUGAAUCCCUACUAGAAUCAGGAGUACUAGAAGGAAUAGAAUUACCAGAAGUAGUAGUAGAGGAAUUGGCAGAAACAUUUUUAUUAAAGUUAUUCUGAUUACUGGACUCAUUUCUUGACUUAAAAUCUUUGGGAUAACCAAUUAGCUUAUAGCAUUUAUCAAUUGUAUGACCUUUAAUUCCACAAUUUUUACACUGAACAGAUUGAGUCUUAUUUUUAUUAGUGUUGUUGAACCCAGAUUUGUUAUUAAACCUGCUAUUAAAAGCAGCAGGUUGAGACUUGGAAAAGGACUGUGAAGACUGAAGAGAAGACAAGGAUCCAUUUCUUUGAAUAGAUUCUUCUCUUGAAAGAAUAGAGAAUGCAGUUUUAACAUUAGGUAAGGGUUCCAUUAACAAAAUAUGACUUUUUACUUGACCAUAGGACUCAUCAAGCCCAGACAAAAAUUGCAUAAGUUUCAUGAGAUUAGAAUGAUCUUUCAUUUUGAUAGCAGCUUCACAAGUACACUCAGUCAAGCUAGUAAGACCAUCAAAUUCCUUCCACAAGGAAUCAAGUUUAUUAAAGUAGUCAGACAAGGAAAUUCCAUUUUGUUUAAGUGUAUUAAUUUGUUGAUGUAUAUUAAACACCACAGAUCCAUCUGACUUAUUAUAAGUUUCAAACAAAUUAUUCCAAAUAUCCUCAGCUACCUCAGAGUAAGCUUGACUCUGAUAUAUAGAAUCAGAGAUAGAAGAUAAAAGCCAGGAACAUACAACAGCAUUAGCCCUAUCCCACUUAGAUUUUUUUGACUCAUCAACACUAGUUUUCUUAAGAGUACCAUCAAUAAAUCCAAGUUUAUUCCUAGCUUUGAGAGCUCUAGAAAUAGAACUCUUCCACAAUCGAAAAUUUUCAUUUCCAGUUAAUUUUGUAGUAACUAUUGAAGUAAUAGCAUUAUCAGAUGGAUGAAUGUAGAGAGGAUCAUCAAAGUUAAUUGACUCAUCCUUUCCACUUCCACUAGGUAUAGAACCAGAAUCACCACUCGAAGUAGUGUCUCCGGCCAUUUAAACGGGGUAAAGAACAACAAAUAAUACCACAAACCGAAGACAACAGUACUGAUCUAAUGUCCAGAUGGUCACCAGGUAUGUUAGGCCCCAAGACAAUCAGUACAGUGUCAAAGAACAAAGAAGCAAGAACAUAUAAUGCAAGAAACAGACAAAGUACUGAUCUAAUGUCCAGAUGGUCACCAGGUAUGUUAGGGCCCAAGACAAUCAGUACAGUGUCAAAGAACAAAGAAGCAAGAACAUAUAAUGCAAGAACCAGACAAAGGUAUGCACAAUACUGACACAGAUUCCAAUCAAUAGAAAAAAAAAAGGAACAAAACAGUCCUCACAGUGAGUUGGAAGCGACCAAAGGAAUCGACUCUCUAAGUCCGUUCUCAACUAGGGUUUAUCGGUGAUCAAAUCCGACCCCUAGGGAGUUAUUUCAGAGUAGAGAUUAAUCGAUUAUGAUAUCUUUGAAGAUCAACGGAAGCGACGCGCUAAUACCACAAGCGUUUAUUCCAACUUUACUUGUUACCUGCAAGAAUCAAAACAUUCUCGCAGUACCAGGAUCUUGAACAAGAAUCAUACAAAAAACUGUAAAGAACAGAAAUGAUCUUCUCAAAACGAAAUCAGAAACAUACCGUCCUUAGAUUGACGAUCCGAUGAUGAGAAUCACGAUCGACCGUCUUACAACAACAAAUCGGAGCCUAAAAGCUCUGAUACCAUCUUAAAAACACAAACACACAAACUUCCCAACUUGAACAGUUUAUUUAAUAUAAACCAGUUCGAUUAUACAUCAACUUACACCAGAAAUCUCACUACAAUCACACUCACUCUCGGAUGAAAAUAAGAACACGAUCUAAAACUACGAUCUUCUACUAGAGAAAACCCUAACAGUUACCGAGAGAACAAAGAAGAUGUGUAUAUGCUUUUAACAACUGAACUACUACACCGAUACAAUGAACAAGAUAUUUUAUCAACUCACAUAACACCUGAAGAUCCGCGCCUUAACCCGAGUAUUAACCCGAAAACUCACCUGCAUAAAGAACUUAUACAAACUACCCACAAAUAGCAAUAUUGUACAAAACACACCCUUCACAUUUAAUGUUCAGUUUGUAAAUAAAGGUAUUUUCAACAGAU
rnacentral:lncRNA from 1 species